UCAGUGAGUGUGUGUGUGUCCAACUCUUCCUCACAGGUUAGUUAAUGACAGACAGUCAGUGAGUGUGUCUGUGUCCAACUCUUCCUCACAGGUUAGUUAAUGACAGACAGUCAGUGAGUGUGUCUGUGUCCAACUCUUCCUCACAGGUUAGUUAAUGACAGACAGUCAGUGAGUGUGUCUGUGUCCAACUCUUCCUCACAGGUUAGUUAAUGAUGUUACUGAGUCAAUGUGAGCAGAUUGUGUCUGUAGACUGAAGAGAAUCAGAGUCUCUCUGAUGGUGGAAAUAAAGGUUUUACUUCCUUAAAACA